CGGGAUGCUUUACACAUGCAAGUCGAACGGCAGCGCGAGAGAGCUUGCUCUCUUGGCGGCGAGUGGCGGACGGGUGAGUAAUAUAUCGGAACGUGCCCAGUAGCGGGGGAUAACUACUCGAAAGAGUGGCUAAUACCGCAUACGCCCUACGGGGGAAAGGGGGGGAUCGCAAGACCUCUCACUAUUGGAGCGGCCGAUAUCGGAUUAGCCAGUUGGUGGGGUAAAGGCUCACCAAGGCAACGAUCCGUAGCUGGUUUGAGAGGACGACCAGCCACACUGGGACUGAGACACGGCCCAGACUCCUACGGGAGGCAGCAGUGGGGAAUUUUGGACAAUGGGGGAAACCCUGAUCCAGCCAUCCCGCGUGUAUGAUGAAGGCCUUCGGGUUGUAAAGUACUUUUGGCAGAGAAGAAAAGGUAUCUCCUAAUACGAGAUACUGCUGACGGUAUCUGCAGAAUAAGCACCGGCUAACUACGUGCCAGCAGCCGCGGUAAUACGUAGGGUGCAAGCGUUAAUCGGAAUUACUGGGCGUAAAGCGUGUGUAGGCGGUUCGGAAAGAAAGAUGUGAAAUCCCAGGGCUCAACCUUGGAACUGCAUUUUUAACUGCCGAGCUAGAGUAUGUCAGAGGGGGGUAGAAUUCCACGUGUAGCAGUGAAAUGCGUAGAUAUGUGGAGGAAUACCGAUGGCGAAGGCAGCCCCCUGUGAUAAUACUGACGCUCAGACACGAAA
rnacentral:rRNA from 1 species